rnacentral:misc_RNA from 1 species
UCUUUAACAGCCACACCAUCUGCAAAACCGCCAACCUGAUCCAACAUCACUCUCUCACCAUGAUAAAGGGACAAUGCCAUUGCAUUUGCAUCUGAGGGUUCCACCCCAAUGAUCUUUACCUUGGGAUUAACCCUCUUUACACAGGCAGCAAUACCAGCUAUUAGCCCACCACCCCCUACAGGCACAAAGAUUGCAUGCAUUGGGACUUGCAUUUGACGCACAAUUUCCAUCCCAACUGUUCCUUGCCCCAUAAUAAUAUCUGGGUGAUCAAAAGGAGGUAUGAAUG